GGACUACUAGGGUAUCUAAUCCUGUUCGCUCCCCACGCUUUCGUACCUCAGUGUCAGGAGUAGCCCAGCAAGCUGCCUUCGCCAUUGGUGUUCUUGGUAAUAUCUACGCAUUUCACUGCUACACUACCAGUUCCACUUGCCUCUGCUGUCCUCUAGACGUCCAGUAUGCGAUGCAUCGACAGGGUUGAGCCCCGCGAUUUAACAUCACACUUAAACAUCCACCUACGCACGCUUUACGCCCAGUGAUUCCGGAUAACGCUUGGACCCUACGUAUUACCGCGGCUGCUGGCAC
rnacentral:rRNA from 1 species